GCCUAAGACUGGGAACGGAUCGGAUUGUACGCGCGCUUGCGCGUGCCGUCUGUAACCGAAAACAGGUCCAGCGUGUGGCUGAGCGUGUGUGUCUGUGCACCCUGAUCCGAGUGGCCUGGAGCUGGGGCGUGCCCGUGAGUCCCAGCCAGGUGGGUUUGCAGGUGGGGGAUCCGCGCUUACCCCAAUUUGUGGCCUUGAAGGGGGUGGAGGCGUGUGUUUGAGUGGCAUCCCUUUCCCCUGAGACGUCUCUUGAGCACCUCCUGUGGGGCCUGGCCUCCAGGCGUCUCGACCCGCCGGUCCUGCCCUAGCAGUGGGAGCCCAGACAGACCUUCUACUGGGCAGUCAGCAAAUGAAGAGAGUCUGGGGCAGUGAGCACCCUGUGCAGAGAGUACGGGACCCUCAGGAGGAGGUGAAAUUUGAGUGGAGACCUGGAGGAAAGCCUGGUAGAGCAAGGGGAAAGUUUUCCGAGAAGAGGAAAUUGCAUGUGCAAAGAGGGUCCGAGCUUGGUGGGUCAAAGAUUAAAAAAAAAAUUUAUUUAACGUAAACUAUUAAUAUAAAGGAUUUCCCUGGUGGCUCAGGCAGUAAAGAAUCUGCCUGCAAUACAGAAGACCCAGGUUCGAUCCGUGACUCAGGAAGAUCCCCUGGAAAAGGAGAUGGCAACCCACUCCAGUAUCUUACCUGGGAAAUCCCAUGGAUGGAGGAGCCUGGCAGGCUACUGUCCACGGGGUCACAAAGAGUUGGACACAACUGAGCGACUACACAAAUUAAUAUAAAAUUACUGAAACAAAGGGAGGAGAUUGUAAAAUCUUGGGGAGUGGAGAAGUCCUCCUGGGUAUGUUACUAAACCCAGAAACCAUAAGAGAAAAAAAUAAAAAGUUGAUUUACAUUAAAAAUAAAAAUUC